AUGGAAUUCAUAGGUGAUUUAUUAGAUGUGGAUACUAAAAGAAGAAAAGUCAAAGUCAAUACCAAUAUUUCUAAUUUGGGCAACAAGGUCUUCAGCAUAAAGACAAGUACCUUGAAGGAGCUCAAGAAAUAUCUGUGUGAGAACAGGAGAAAGGUUUGUCAUAUGGGAAAACGAAGCCUGAGAAGUGCCAGACCCAGAGAUAAUGAGAAAAGCAGAAGGCUGAAAUAAG